UAUACAUGCGCUGUUCAAAGCGAGGAUUAGAAGGGACUGAAUCAUCUAUUAGAAAUGAUGGUUCAGUUUCUUCUAAUAUCUCACCUUGAAUGGUCCAUCUGUGAAGC